GGGAUAAAGGGUGAAUGAAAUAAAGGAAAGGAAUUGCCCUAAAUUAAUACUAUUUCUCCUCCAAAAUAACUGAAAGUAGUUUCCUAACAUAAGGCGGAAUUUAUUUUCCGAUCGGAAUAACUUUUGCUGAUCUGCUUGGCUGUUUGCCGAUCUGCUUAACAAGCAGUCCGUAAAGUGUAAAGCGGUGUAAGGUAGAAUAUGUAUAAAUGUAGAUAAUGUAAAGAUGGUAAAUUUAAUUAAAUAAUGUUUUUGCGCUUAACGGUGGCGCUGCUGACUGAUGAAAUCCAGUAAAAGACCUCCUGGUCGGGCAAUGUAUGCAUUCCUCACCGGUCUCACUGGCCUCACUGGUUAAUUUUUGAAAUAUAGUAUUCUCCUAGGUGCCACCCUCUAGGGAUUGGCACUAAAGUUAAAAAAAUAUCACUGCAGAUUCACUGUGCAUUCGCAGACUUGAUUAAAGUUUCCGGGUUUUGGAUUGAAUUGUUUUUUUUUUCUUUUUUUGUAAUUUGAGAAAUCACUAUAUUCAUUUGGACGGACUGAACGCACUGUAUUGCUCGCUGGCUUAAUCUCAAUUAAUGCCCAAUGGCUACCGCUUCGGGUCGGGACCCCGAGUCUGAACUCCAAAAAAUGCCGUUGGAGAAAUGUUCUACAUGACGGUCUAAUUAACAUUUUUUCCGACCUUAAGAACGGUCUAAGAACUUUUAGGCCGAAAUCGAAGACAAGCUACCCUACAGAGUCAGAGUUAAAUUGGGAUCAGAUCAAAAUAAUACUGAUCUCCCACUUCAAAGACAAAAGAUCUGAGCAGGACUUGAUAAUGGAGCUGACCCAUAGAAACUGCAAAAGAAACAAGGAAAAGAAACUGGAUGUAGAAGCCCUUUACACUAGGGUUAUGACUAAAGAAAGCUUUGGUGAGUUUAACCAAAACAGGCGAGAACAUCAUACUGCUGAGGGGCGAAAAAAUUAAAUGGUAUGAGAAAAUGGUGCUCAACGCCUUUAAUUCGGACUUAAAGAGUAACCAUAAGGAACAUGAGGGUCCCGAAUAUAGCCAUGGCUUAUGAGAUAGCUUGUAGGGAGGAAAAGUUAGUUGCCUUAGAGGGUGCCGGCUCAGAACCCAAAACUCAGGGGUCGGUGGAGUCGCAAGACAAAGCCGCUAAGGAAACUCAGAAUUAGGAUCGAAAGAAAGAGGAGCCCCAGGUGUUGAAGGCUCACAGGGAGAAGGGCAUUUAGUCGCAGUACCAGUGGGGAAGAAACAAUCCUCCUCCGUUUGCCAUGCCGAGUGUAAAUGGAUGGCCAGGUUUCGGAAUUCCAUAUCCGAUAACGGGCAAUCCAUUCAGGGCAGGUAAUUGCAAUCAGGGGGAUUCUACAGGCUAUCAAGGACCAUAUCGCAAUUACCAGAACAUAAACUCCAGAUGGAAUAAGAACCAAGCGAGCCGAGGUAGGCAGUGGAACGGUUAAAAUAGUAACAAUUAUAACAACAGCAAUUAUAGUAACGGGAAUAACAACAACGGUUAAAAUAGUAACAAUUAUAACAACAGCAAUUAUAGUAACGGGAAUAACAACAACGGUUAUAAUAGUAACAAGUAUAACAACAGCAAUUAUAGCAACGGGUAUAACAACAAUGGUUAUAGUAGCAACAAUGUUGUCUCAUUUAUAUGGAUGACAUCAUGGUGUUCUCAGCGUCCUUGCAGGAACAUAUUACAGACUUGGAAAAAGUAUUCAAGAAGCUUACGGAAGACGGAUAAGGCGGAAUUUCUGAGGACAGAGGUGGAAUAUUUAGGGCACGUAGUGACCCCACAAGGUAUUAAAUCGAAUCCGGGAAAAAUUUAAGCAAUUAAGAAAUUCACCGUCCCGAGGACUAGGAAGCAGAUAAAAGCCUUCCUAGGGUUGUUAGGUUACUACAGGAAGUUCAUUAAGGACUUCGCAGCAACAACAAAACCGGUGACGAAACAACUUAAGGGAAGAAAGGCAGUGCAAAGAGACGAAGUAUAACCAGAAGCGUUUGAGGUGUGCAAACCCCUCUUAUGCAAUUACCCAAUUUGUCUGUCAACAUCAGAAAUACACUAUGCUACGAUAGAGAAGGAAAUGCUUGCCAUUAUUUGGUCGAUAAGGCAUUUCAGACACUACCUGUUUGGCACUAAAUUCAAAAUAGUGACCGAUUAUAGACCAUUAACCUGGCCUAUGAUGCAUUAAAGAACCCGACUCUAUACUCGUAAGAUUGAGACUCCAGAUGUUAGAGUAUUACUAUGAAAUAGUAUACAAGAACGUAGUGGCGGAUGCGCUGAGCAGAAUCCCACCAGAGUUUAACGUAUUGGAAGACGCCUCGGAAGUAGCAACAAAUGGAGGGACGAUACACUCCGCGGGGGAAGACUUGCGGUUGGGAUUUCCAAUUUCCGUGAAACCACUGAACGAAUAUAACAUUCAGGUGGUUAUAGAUAAAGGGGGAACAUCUAAAGUAGUGAAACUAAAACUCCGGACAGACCCUUGGAGAUAGUGCAUAUCGACAUAUAUUUUGUUAAUAAGAAAAAUGUUUUCGCGAUUAUUGACAAAUUUUUGAGAUAUGCAUGGGGGGUAACUAUUCCAGCCAAGGAAAGUAUUAACAUUGUCAAAGCAAUGAAAAACUUUAUCGCUCUGUUUGAAAUACCCAAGAAGGUAGUCUGCGAUUAUGGGGUCGAGUUCUCGUCGAACCUCUUUAAGGAUAUUUGUAGUACGAACUUGAACUGCAUACAACAUCCUUCCAACAGUCGUCGGGUAGCUCCACGGUCGAAAGACUACACUCAAAAAUAACGGAGACAUACCGGUUGAUUAUGGAGAGCAAGAAGGCAGGGAAGUUUGAACUCCGACACAAACUGAGUGAAGCGUUUAUAACGUACAAUAACGCCAUUCAUUCAGCAACGAAGCUGACACCUCAGAAACUCUUUACAGGCAGAACGCAGGAUUUUCUGAAUAACUUGACGUUCAAUAAUGAACACGAUUAUUUGCAGAAAAUCAUUGCGUUUCAGGCCGAGGUUUAUCCGAAGGUAAAGGAAAGGGUAGAAAGCCAAAAGAUGAGAAGAAUUGAGGCAGCUUAUAUGGAAAGACAGGAACCAGACCCGGUGCAGGCUGGAAAUACGAUAUUUAGAAAUGAGAAUCGGAGAAAUAAACACACUCCUAGGUUCUCUAAGCACAAGGUGUUGGAAGAUAUCAACCUAACACUAACAACAACCAAGCCGCAGAAAUACACAAGGAGAAAAUCCGAAAAAUAAAUAAACCAAACGAAUAACUUUUUUUUUACAGGUGGUCUAUUGCCGUGGCCGAGGAGAGCAGGUUAGAAAUAAUACCCUUGGAAGGGAACGACGCGUUGGCUCAGAUAGAAAUGGGAACGGUUGUCUAUUGCCGUGGCCGAGGAGAGCAGGUUAGAAAUAAUACCCUUGGAAGGGAACGACGCGUUGGCUCAGAUAGAAAUGGGAACGGUGGUCUAUUGCCGUGGCCGAGGAGAGCAGGUUAGAAAUAAUACCCUUGGAAGGGAACGACGCGUUGGCUCAGAUAGAAAUGGGAACGGAGGAAGAUGUAAUAUGCACAUGUUUCGGUUAACCAAUGUACCACUGUAAUCAGUCUACGCCGGCAGCGCUGCUCCUCGAAUUGGGCUAAGAAACCUUUGAAUGAAGAUCAUAAAAACAGUGACGAAUUUUCUUCGAGCCCAGCUCCACUCAAUAAAAUAAAAAAAUAUAAUAAAAUACAAAUAACCACACCAGUGACGUUUUCAAUAGAUUCCGUAAAACUUACCCAAUUCUAAUUCUGAGCGAUAAGAUUUUGACGCUUUGGAUCCUGGGUGUUACUAGACAAGAAGUUGGAAUUUUAAAUACAUAUAUACGUGUGCCAACAUAUUGUAGGUACCCAGCAGACAAAGAGCGGACGUAAUGCGGAUGGAUUCAAAAAAUAUCCGCUAAAAAAAUUAACGUAGAAUCGAAGUUUCCGCACUAGGUUCGUUAAAUGAUCAAAGCGGGCGCUAAAACGGACAAAAAUCAAAACUUUGGCGUCCCUCAAAAAAAGUCCGAAAAGCGUACAGUGGACGGGCCCACACCCAUUCUUACACUCACAAACCGCCCAAAACUGACACGCCCACACUUUUGAAAAAUGUUUUGAUAUUUUUUCAUUUUUGUAUUAGUCUUGUAAAUUUCUUUCGAUUUGCCAAAAAACUACUUGCGUUCAAGCGAGGGGAUGAAGGCUAAGACGCAAUACAAAGGGUCGCAGAGGGCAGGCUGCACUUCGCCAACUUCCCCAAUAUGUCAUCAACGGGCGGACUCGCCAACAAGGUGGAGGAGUCUCUUGCCAACAAGAGGCAACGCUCAACCGAGAGCGCCAAUAAGAACGCACCGGGGAGCAAGCGGCGACGCGGGCCCAGAAGAAGCCCCCUGGGAAGAAGCCCCAGAAGAUGCUAAAAGUUAGUGAGGCGACCAAACGGCACUUGAUAGUGGCACUCAUUGACAGAAGCGAUGAAGCCGGCAAGAUGACUGAGCCGCAAUGGAAGUUGGUGCAUGUGCGACUUGUUGAGUCAUUGUUUGCACGGAUGGAGGAAGCUACUAAGGUCCCCAUGCCCACAUUUGAUGGUGGCGGGUGGCUGAAGGGGGUCAAAAUCCUUAAGUGAUUGGAUGACCCGACGAGAAAGUGGCGGAAGCAAACGGUCUGCCAAUUGGAGGCGUUGUGGGAGGGGGCCCAGCUGGAGGUGGUGGACAGGGAGCUAAUCCCGUCCAUUCCUAAAACGAAGGUUCUCUUUCCCAUCGUAAUCCAAUGGGACCGGGCGAUGAAGCUCCUGCAGCGGCAGAAUCCAGAUAUACCAACCGCGCACUGGAAGGUUCUGCACCUUGCGACCCCAUCACCCAAAGAGGGGGGCCAUAGUGCAGUCCUCCAGAUAAAUAAGGAGGCGCAGGACAUCCUCUAUCCGAGGUACGGAAAGAUGGCGUGGGGCAUGGGGAGCGUGUACCUGCGCCAAAAAACGCCAUCCCAGGGAUAAGGAUGCAUAGCACCCUGAAGACAGGAGAAGUUGAGAAGGACCUAGGUCUGGAAACCAUCGCGAAACCAGCCGCCCAGAGACUUUCGCUAGGCGAGACGGAUGAGGAGGACGUUGACCUGACGUUGACAGUCAACCCGUCGAAUGGAGGUGAGCCCAGUACCCAUGCCACUGAGGGUGGUGCAGCUCAAUCUUCAUAAAAGCAAGGUCGCGUCGGCGGAACUCCUCAUCGCCCUGGAGCAAGGGUCCGCCGACAUAGCUUUGGUCCAAGAGCCAUGGAUUGCCUCGGGCAAUGCCGUCGCUGGACUAAAGUCCUCCAAUUACAACCCCUUCUACACACCAUCGCACGGAUGACCUGACUGUUGUGAUGCUGGAGAGCGAGAGGAAUCGCCCACGAUAGAACGGCCCCACCGGAGGAACUCAGGAGCAUGGUGGAAGCCAGCCCGAACGACCAACAACUGAUCGUGGCCUGAACGCCAACGCGCAUCGUUGUGUAUGGGGUAGCCUGACAUCAACGACUGAGAGUACCGGUGGACACAAUCAAGGCUCAGCAGUCAGGGUGGAUGGGCCAAAGAACCUUCCUCCUAGUCGAUAAGGGGAGUAACAGUCCUGUACAGCCCUCCGAGUAGACGGCGACGGCUGAGACCCUAAGUCUUUCCCUCCGCCAUCGGAGUGGCACUGGCCACCAGCCCCCAAUUGAAACACAGAGGGAACCGCGCUACGAAAGAGCCAGGACAGCGGAUAAGAGUUUGUCGAGCAAGCUGCAUCCUACGCCCGCACCAGUUAAAGAAAGGCAGGAUCUUCUGGUUGUCGAGCUACAAGGACUACGGCGUUAACCGAGCGAGUGUUCAGAACGUCAGUGAAAACUAAACAAGAGUCUAGCGGAAUCAGCAGGACAAAGACAAAGCGGCUGCCUUGAAAUCCCAGCACCUGUUCACUCCGCACACCUCCUCGCCACAAAUUACGUGUGCAGCGGUAGUACCAGGGUAAGCAAACAUCACAAAAGGACACCGCAGCGGGUAAAUCAUUCCCGCUAUACCAUAAGAGAUUAUAAAGAUCAUGAGAACUUAAAAUACUUAUAACGGUCUGAUCACUAUUAUAUAAAUUUUGAUAGAACGAACUCACAAAAUCUUGUAAGCCAAUAGCAGGUAUUUCGUAGCGAGAGGACCAGUAAAAAUCAGUUCGCCUACUUUUUAAAAAUCUUCCUAUUCAACAUUAUUGGCUCCUAAUUUCUAGGAAAAACAUUUGAAGCUUCCUUAAUUUUAUUUAAAAUAUGUUAGAAAUAUGUUGCGUACUUAGCGCUUCUCUGGCUGGUCUGAAACUAUCGUAUUUGCUCUUAUUAAUCUUUUUUUGUUUCUUGAAUUUUGAUUUAUAAUGAACGAUUUUCCUGCCUCGGUUUGUUUCCUCAAAAUGUUUACAGUCCACUUGUUCAAUCCUUCCUACCUUUUUAAAUGGAUUGGUGAUUUACUCUUUACGAGUGGAGCCUGUCUAUAUUUUAUAUCAACUUCAAAAUCAUGCCUAUUUUUAUUAAGAUAAUCGAGACAUUAAAGUCUGGGCUGCCUGCAUAUAGAAAAAUGCCUGCCGGAGAUCGUUUGGUUCUACUAUGUUUAGUUUUAUGAUUAUAGACGUAUAAGAUUGUUUCGAAUCUUGUACACCUAUCUUCAAUAUUUUGUUUACUACCGAUAACUCUCAGCUUUUCAUUUACCGGCACCUGGCCGUUAGUAUUAUUUGAGGUUGAAGGCUGGAAAUUAAGGGAAUUGUUUAGAAGACUGUUUUGUUGGCCUUGUGUUAACUUUCUUCUAAACCUGCGUCUGUUCCCUUCUGAUCUAUUAGAACGCUGAUUUUCUGGACUGGC